rnacentral:rRNA from 1 species
UACGUAGGGACCAAGCGUUGUCCGGAAUCAUUGGGCGUAAAGCGCGCGUAGGCGGCCCGGUAAGUCCGUUGUAAAAGUCGAAGGCUCAACCUUCGAAAGCCGAUGGAUACUGCCGGGCUAGAGUACGGAAGAGGCGAGUAGAAUUCCUGGUGUAGCGGUGGAAUGCGCAGAUAUCAGGAGGAACACCAAUAGCGAAGGCAGCUCGCUGGGACGGUACUGACGCUAAGGCGCGAAAGCGUGGGGAGCGAACAGG